rnacentral:rRNA from 1 species
AUGAAGCUGACCGGAGCAUCCUCAUUCAUUGCUUAUGGCAUGUAUAUCUUUGAUGAUGGGCAUCAUGUAGACGAUGCAAUGCCCCUGGACGAAUACACAGACAUAUUUCCGAUGGUUAUUGAACUUAAUGGAGCCACAGUCAAAAAUGGUUAUUUGUGUGUUCCUGGUGAAGUUGACCCAGUGGUCAUCUAUGAACUUGCAUCUCCCCAGUGCAGGCUGCUCAUGAAGAGCAUGCUUAAGUCUCUUGAAAUAAAUGAUCUGGAUGGGAGCUUGUUCGAAGGUGAAGCUGUUCCAGAAGAUGUCCAGGACUUGUUUAAUAUCAUUGAAGAUCAGGACCAGUAUAAUCUGCAUCGGCCAAUGUUCCAUGUCCAUGGCGCUGUACUUCAAAUUCCAGAGUAUUCUGGUGUCUACAAAGACUUACAUGAGCAUAUACGUCUUGUGAUUGAAAAGCCAGAGAUGAGGAGCAUAUUACUGAAUCUGCCAUAUGUAGAUGAUUGGCUGCUUAGGAUUGCAAGCAAUUCCCUCCUCAUGACGACAUAUAACUACAACGUUAAGAGUUACAUUGUUCCAACGAGCAAUGCUAUUCAGACCUGCCUGAACAAGGACCAGAUUGCUUUGCUCACUGAACUACACUUAGUUAGAGCUAGUGGUCAAAAGGACUUCACUGCAGAACAGAAGCAACUUGUCAAGGCGCUUCAGUUCAUUGAUUUUCCGAGGAAUCGAAAUGCCCACAGGAUGGAGCCCUUUGUGUACUUUAGAAACAACUUCAAAGCAUUCGUAGGCUCCAUGAGGUGCAAGACGUCCGGCAUGAGGAUGAGGCAGGUGCAGGUGCUGGGGCAGGUGCUGGUGCUGGUCUUGUCGGUGUCGGUGAGCCUGGUGAUGGUGCUGGUGUUGUUGGUGUCGAUGCAAAAUACUGGAACUUCCGAUCAACCACAGUUGAUGAGCCAAUGCAGUUAUAUUCUUGUUGGUGAACUGCCUGGCCAUUGUUGUAGAGUCAGUAUGAGCCUGGAUUGUAGUACAAUGCAUGAGUACAGCACGUCAAUCUGA